rnacentral:rRNA from 1 species
GCGUUGAAAAGUGAGCGGAUGAACUGAGGGUAGCGGAGAAAUUCCAAUCGAACUUGGAGAUAGCUGGUUCUCUCCGAAAUAGCUUUAGGGCUAGCCUCAAGUGAUGAUUAUUGGAGGUAGAGCACUGUUUGGACGAGGGGCCCCUCUCGGGUUACCGAAUUCAGACAAACUCCGAAUGCCAAAUAAUUUAACUUGGGAGUCAGAAUGUGGGUGAUAAGGUCCAUAUUCGAAAGGGAAACAGCCCAGACCACCAGCUAAGGUCCCAAAAUAUAUGUUAAGUGGAAAAGGAUGUGGCGUUGCCCAGACAACUAGGAUGUUGGCUUAGAAGCAGCCAUCAUUUAAAGAGUGCGUAAUAGCUCACUAGUCGAGUGACACUGCGCCGAAAAUGUACCGGGGCUAAACAUAUUACCGAAGCUGUGGAUUGUCCAUUGGACAAUGGUAGGAGAGCGUUCUAAGGGCGUUGAAGCAUGAUCGCAAGGACAUGUGGAGCGCUUAGAAGUGAGAAUGCCGGUGUGA